rnacentral:rRNA from 1 species
UACAGAGGUCUCAAGCGUUGUUCGGAUUCAUUGGGCGUAAAGGGUGCGUAGGUGGCGGGGUAAGUCAGGUGUGAAAUCUCGGGGCUCAACCCCGAAACUGCACUUGAUACUGCCUUGCUCGAGUACUGGAGAGGAGAUUGGAAUUUACGGUGUAGCAGUGAAAUGCGUAGAGAUCGUAAGGAAGACCAGUGGCGAAGGCGGGUCUCUGGACAGUUCCUGACACUGAGGCACGAAGGCCAGGGGAGCAAACGGG